UUGAACGCUGGCGGCAUGCCUUACACAUGCAAGUCGAACUGCAGCACGGGUGCUUGCACCUGGUGGCGAGUGGCGAACGGGUGAGUAAUACAUCGGAACAUGUCCUGUAGUGGGGGAUAGCCCGGCGAAAGCCGGAUUAAUACCGCAUACGAUCUACGGAUGAAAGCGGGGGACCUUCGGGCCUCGCGCUAUAGGGUUGGCCGAUGGCUGAUUAGCUAGUUGGUGGGGUAAAGGCCAACCAAGGCGACGAUCAGUAGCUGGUCUGAGAGGACGACCAGCCACACUGGGACUGAGACACGGCCCAGACUCCUACGGGAGGCAGCAGUGGGGAAUUUUGGACAAUGGGCGAAAGCCUGAUCCAGCAAUGCCGCGUGUGUGAAGAAGGCCUUCGGGUUGUAAAGCACUUUUGUCCGGAAAGAAAUCCUUGGCCCUAAUACGGUCGGGGGAUGACGGUACCGGAAGAAUAAGCACCGGCUAACUACGUG
rnacentral:rRNA from 1 species